CCAGACUCUGAACUUCAGGUUGCCCAGGUGUUUGGCCACAUCUAUCAGAGCCCCUGAGAGCAGCUCUGGAUCCUGCAGUGUGCACUGGACUCUGUAAUGACAAGCAGGAGUCACUCAAGAUUUAAAUGGUUUGUUCCUGUUGCUGUCUUUGUGAGUGGAAGUGGAGGCCAGACUGACUGUAUUUACAAGACCUCAUACCACAGCCGUCCGUCAGAACUGAAUGUUUUACACAGAGAUAUUUUACUCAUAU